rnacentral:rRNA from 1 species
GACGAACGCUGGCGGCGUGCUUAACACAUGCAAGUCGAACGGAAAGGCCCCUUUGGGGGUACUCGAGUGGCGAACGGGUGCGUAACACGUGAGUAACCUGCCCUUGACUUCGGGAUAACUUCAGGAAACUGGGGCUAAUACCGGAUAGGAAUCCUUGCUGCAUGGUGGGGGUUGGAAAGCUUCGGCGGUUUUGGAUGGACUCGCGGCUUAUCAGCUUGUUGGUGGGGUAGUGGCUUACCAAGGCUUUGACGGGUAGCCGGCCUGAGAGGGCGACCGGCCACAUUGGGACUGAGAUACGGCCCAGACUCCUACGGGAGGCAGCAGUGGGGAAUAUUGCACAAUGGGCGGAAGCCUGAUGCAGCAACGCCGCGUGCGGGAUGACGGCCUUCGGGUUGUAAACCGCUUUCAGCAGGGGCGAAGCUUGUGGUGACGGUACCUGCAGAGGAAGCACCGGCUAACUACGUG